rnacentral:lncRNA from 1 species
AAUUGUAGUUAGAAUUUUGGAAAUGGAGUCAGAAACACUUCGAAAUGCGUGUCCCCUCAUGACUUCCCUCCACACCUUGCCUCAUAUUUUAAUCCCUUUUUCUCUCUACAUAUUUUCCUGCCUUUUUCUCCCCUCACAUUUCCCACGUUUUUUCCCCUCACACUUUCUGCAUUUUUCCUCUCCUCACACUUUCCUGCCUUUUUUCCCCUCAUUUUCCUCCCUUUUUCCCCCCUCACACUUUCCCGCCUUCUUCUUCCCUCACAAUUCCCAUCUUCUUCCUCUCCUCACAUUUUCUUCCCUUUUUCUCCCCUCACACUUUCCCACCUUAUUUCCCCUCACCUCACACUUUCUGCAUUUUUCCUCUCCUCACACUUUCUGCAUUUUUCCUCUCCUCACAUUUUUCUCCCCUCACAAUUUCCUGCUAUUUUUCCCCUCACAAUUUCCUAAUUUUUUUUUCCCCUCACAAAUUCCCGCCUUUUUUUCCCCUCACACUUUCCCGCCUUUUUCCUCCCCUCACUUUCCUGCUUUUUUCAUCUCCUCACAUUUUUCUCCCUUUUUCUCCUCUCACAUUUCCCCACUUUUCCCCUCACACUUUCCACAUUUUUCUCCCCUCACAAUUUCCUGCUAUUUUUCCCCUCACAAAUUCCCGCCUUUUUUUUCCCCCUCACAAAUUCCCACCUUUUUUCCCCCUCACACUUUCCUGCUUUUUUUUCUCCCCUCACAUUUUCCUCCCUUUUUCUUCCCUCACAAUUCCCCACAAUUCCAGGUUUUUGAGGAUUUUGGGGUACUUUGAGGUACCUGCAUCCAGCGUUUUGAGGAUUUUGGGGGAGUUUUGAUGAUUUUGGGAGGUUUUGAUGAUUCCGGGGUACCUGCACCCAGGUUUUUGAGGAUUUUGGGUGGUUUUGAUGAUUUUUUGAGGUUCUGAUGAUUUCAGGGUACCUGCCCCCAGGUUUUCGAGGAUUUUGGGGUACUUGGGGUACUUGCGUCCAGCGUUUUGAGGAUUUGGGGGGGGGUUUGAUGGUUUUGGGGGGGUUUUGAGGAUUUUGGGGUACUUUGGGGUACCUGCACCCGUGUUUUUGAUGAUUCUGGGGUACCUGGCCCCAGGUUUUUAAGAUUUUUGGGGUACUUUGGGGUACCUGCCUCCAGGAUUUUGAUGAUUCUGUGGUACCUGCCCCCAGGUUUUCGAGGAUUUCGGGAGGUUUUGAUGAUUUUGGGGUACCUGUCUCCAGGUUUUGAUGAUUGUGUGCUACCUGCCCCAGGUUUUUGAUGAUUUUGGGGAACUUGGGGUACCUGCCCCCAGGUUUUCGAGGAUUUUGGGAUACCUGCCCCCAGGUUUUUGAUGAUUUUGGGGUACCU